UACGUAGGGGGCAAGCGUUGUCCGGAUUUAUUGGGCGUAAAGAGCGUGUAGGCGGCCAUGUAGGUCCGUUGUGAAAACUCGAGGCUCAACCUCGAGACGCCGAUGGAAACCAUGUGGCUAGAGUCCGGAAGAGGAGAGUGGAAUUCCUGGUGUAGCGGUGAAAUGCGCAGAUAUCAGGAAGAACACCCGUGGCUAAGGCGGCUCUCUAGUACGGUACUGACGCUGGGACGCGAAAGCGUGGGGAGCGAACAGG
rnacentral:rRNA from 1 species